rnacentral:rRNA from 1 species
GACGAACCGUGCGAACGUUGUUCGGAAUCACUGGGCUUAAAGGGCGCGUAGGCGGCCUGGCAAGUGGAAGGUGAAAUCCCUCGGCUUAACCGAGGAACUGCCCUCCAAACUGCUUGGCUUGAGUCCGGGAGAGGUGAGUGGAAUUCCCAGUGUAGCGGUGAAAUGCGUAGAUAUUGGGAGGAACACCAGUGGCGAAGGCGGCUCACUGGACCGGAACUGACGCUGAUGCGCGAAAGCGUGGGGAGCAAACGGG